rnacentral:rRNA from 1 species
UACGGGAGGCAGCAGUGGGGAAUAUUGCACAAUGGGCGAAAGCCUGAUGCAGCUAUGCCGCGUGUAUGAAGAAGGCCUUAGGGUUGUAAAGUACUUUCAUCGGGGAGGAAAAACAAACUAAUAAUUUUAUUUCUUGACGUUACCCGAAAAAGAAGCACCGGCUAACUCCGUGCCAGCAGCCGCGGUAAUACGGAGGGUGCUAGCGUUAAUCAGAAUUACUGGGCGUAAAGAGCACGUAGGUGGUUUUUUUAAGUCAGAUGUGAAAUCCCUGGGCUUAACCUAGGAACUGCAUUUUGAAACUGAAAUACUAGAGUAUCGUAGAGGGAGGUAGAAUUCUAGGUGUAGCGGUGAAAUGCGUAGAUAUCUGGAGGAAUAUCUGUGGCGAAAGCGGCCUCCUAAACGAAUACUGACACUGAGGUGCGAAAGCGUGGGGAGCAAACAGGGAUUAGAUACC